AGUGGAAUGGCUGGAUCAUAUGGUAGAUGUAUGUUUAACUUUUUAAGAAACUCUCAAGUUGUUUUCCUAAGUGCUUUUACCAUUUUGCAUAUCCACCAGCAAU
rnacentral:pre_miRNA from 1 species